rnacentral:tRNA from 1 species
GUUGAGGUAGCUUAUACUAAAGCAUUAGUGUUACAUAUUAAAUAAAGGGUUAAUUAUCCUCCUUAAUA